ACGCAUAAUACCCACGGGUCAAAGGAGCAAUUCGCUUGAGGAGGAGGUCGCGGCCGAUUAGUUAGUUGGCGGGGUAAUGGCCCCACCAAGACGGUGAUCGGUAUCCGGCCUGAGAGGGCGCACGGACACACUGGAACUGAAACACGGUCCAGACUCCUACGGGAGGCAGCAGUGGGGAAUUUUGCGCAAUGGGGGAAACCCUGACGCAGCAACGCCGCGUGGAGGAUGAAGUCUCUUGGGACGUAAACUCCUUUCGAUCGGGACGAUUAUGACGGUACCGGAAGAAGAAGCCCCGGCUAACUUCGUG
rnacentral:rRNA from 1 species